rnacentral:lncRNA from 1 species
ACUUAUUAAUGGUAAGGCAGGCUUCGGAAAUGAGAAUCAUGCAAAUAAUGGUUUCAUUUUUUACCCGUGUUUUUAAGGGACUGAGAUAUCUUUGUCAUUUACCUGGGAUUUACAGGGACCAAAAAGCUGGACAUCAUUCACCACCGGGAACAGCAUAUUGUUCUUGGAAGAGGCAAAAGCCUAGGACUUCAAGAUGCCGGUGCUUCAAGGAACCGAGGCAUGACCUCAAGAGAUUUGCCGGAGGUGGCCUCAGUGGCAGCAGUCAUUGAAGAAAGGAAGACAGCUGCCCAGCCAGUCUGACAGACCAUACACAGACAGCCCUGUUCACAGGGAGGCAUGGGCAAAGAUUUCAUGAUGAAAACAUCAAAAGCAAUUGCAACAAAAGCAAAAAUUGACAAAUAUGAUUUAAUUAAACUAAAGAGCUUCUGCACAGCAAAAGAAACCAUCAUCAGAGUGAACAGAUACAACCUAUAGAAUGGGAGAACACUUUUGCAAUCUAUCCAUCUGACAAAGGUCUAAUAUCCAGAAUCUACAAGGAACUUAAACAAAUUUACAAGAAAAAAACAAAGUACCCCAUUAAACAGUGGGCAAAAAACAUGAACAGACACUUCUCAAAAGAAGACAUUUAUGCAUCCAACAAA